GGAAAAGAAAGAAAGAGAGGAAGAGAAGAAGAAGAAGAAGCAGAAGAAAAGGAGGGUUUUGCGCCGCGCGAACCUCGCCUAGCCGAUCCGACUUCGUAUCGCAACGCUCGGAUUACGAGAUUAUCGGGGCGUUUAGCCGCGUUAUUGGUUUUGGGGCAUUCCAGGUUCUUUAUUUAGCAGCCAAUAGAGCGAGAGUGAUGUCAUGGGGACUUUUGGGUGAUUUGAGGUUGCGUCCUUCAGGUGGAAGGACGGCCGUGUCAUCCCCCAUCCUGGUAGAUUUCGGGGUGUGACAC